AUUGAACGCUGGCGGCAUGCUUUACACAUGCAAGUCGAACGGCAGCACGGGUGCUUGCACCUAGUGGCGAGUGGCGAACGGGUGAGUAAUGCAUCGGAACGUGCCCAUGAGUGGGGGAUAGCCCGGCGAAAGCCGGAUUAAUACCGCAUACGCCCUUAGGGGGAAAGCGGGGGAUCUUCGGACCUCGCGCUAUUGGAGCGGCCGAUGUCGGAUUAGCUAGUAGGUGAGGUAAAGGCUCACCUAGGCGACGAUCCGUAGCUGGUCUGAGAGGAUGAUCAGCCACACUGGGACUGAGACACGGCCCAGACUCCUACGGGAGGCAGCAGUGGGGAAUUUUGGACAAUGGGCGCAAGCCUGAUCCAGCCAUGCCGCGUGAGUGAAGAAGGCC
rnacentral:rRNA from 1 species